rnacentral:lncRNA from 1 species
CACCCAUAUCCAAGGAGACCAGGUAUAUAUUCCUGCCAGACCAUGACAGAGAUUAUAUUCUUAUGAAGGCGGCUUCCACACACACAGCAAUUGCUACAGGCCCUGAGCGCAGCAAAAAGUAAAUAUUAUCAGAAAUAAAUGAUGUGAACUGACACGUCAAACAUUGCUUAUGCAUAUCCUUGAUCACUACAACUG